AUUGAACGCUGGCGGCAUGCCUUACACAUGCAAGUCGAACGGUAACAGGUCUUCGGAUGCUGACGAGUGGCGAACGGGUGAGUAAUACAUCGGAACGUGCCUAGUAGUGGGGGAUAACUACUCGAAAGAGUGGCUAAUACCGCAUGAGAUCUACGGAUGAAAGCAGGGGAUCGCAAGACCUUGUGCUACUAGAGCGGCCGAUGGCAGAUUAGGUAGUUGGUGGGAUAAAAGCUUACCAAGCCGGCGAUCUGCAGCUGGUCUGAGAGGACGAUCAGCCACACUGGGACUGAGAAACGGCCCAUACUCCUACGAGAGGCAGCAGUGGGGAAUUUUGGACAAUGGGCGCAAGCCUGAUCCAGCAAUGCCGCGUGCAGGAUGAAGGCCUUCGGGUUGUAAACUGCUUUUGUACGGAACGAAAAGCCCUGGGUUAAUACCCUGGGGUCAUGACGGUACCGUAAGAAUAAGCACCGGCUAACUACGUGCCAGCCGCCGCUGUAAGAC
rnacentral:rRNA from 1 species